UGCGCAGGCGGUUGUGCAAGACAGAUGUAGAAACGUCCCCGGGCUCCAACCGUGGGAAUUGCUAUUUGUGACUGCACGGCUAGAGUGUGUCAGAGGGGGGUAGAAUUCCACGUGUAGCAGUGAAAUGCGUAGAUAUGUGGAGGAAUACCGAUGGCGAAGGCAGCCCCCUGGGAUAACACUGACGCUCAUGCACGAAAGCGUGGGGAGCAAACAGGAUUAGAUACCCCAGU
rnacentral:rRNA from 1 species